AUGACGGGAAGUCGGGGUUAGGGCAGAGGGCGCGGCGCGGGGGAGGUGGCUGAGCAAGAGGCCGGAGGGCCGAGAGAAGCGCGCGCAGGGACUGCCGAGGACGUGACGGCAGCAGCGCCAGCAGCCGCGUGACCCUAGCGGGAAGGAGGGGUGCCUCUGGCUUGAUCGCCCGCGGGAGCUCCAGGUUGUAGGAUGUCGAGCACAGUUAGCUAGCUCCGGGUUGCGCCCUCCCCUCGACUUUCACUUCCCCGGGAGGGAGGAAGCGGAACCAGAUGCACAGCGCAGAACAGCUGGGGACAGUCCCUGGAGCCGCCCGCCCUCCGCCCGCCCUAACCCGCCCGCCGCCCCGCCCGGUCCGGCCCCUACCUGCCUGCCCUGGGACUCCCCAGCCGGCCCGCUGGCGGGUGGCUCCGAGGGCGGGCUGGCGGGCCGGCGGGCGGCCGGGCUGCUAUCCAGCCCCGGACAUGGCGCACUCGACUUAGGAGCCGCUCGCGCCCGGGCUGAAGGAAGAAGCAGCAGCCGAGGGCGCCGGGCACAGUGGAAGAUCUGGGCGGUCCCAGCGUCCCCGCGCGCUGCGCCACGCGGGGACUGCUGCUACACCGCUAGCUCCAGCCGC
rnacentral:lncRNA from 1 species